UAAUACGGGGGGAGCAAGCGUUGUCCGGAAUCACUGGGCGUAAAGGGCUCGUAGGCGGGCCAAUAAGUCAGAAGUGAAAUUUACUCGCUUAACGAGUAACCUGCUUUUGAAACUGUUGGUCUUGAAAUAUGAAGAGGAAAGCGGAAUUCCAGGUGUAGCGGUGAAAUGCGUAGAUAUCAUGAGGAACACCGGUGGCGAAGGCGACUCUCUGGUCCAUAACUGACGCUGAGGUGCGAAAGCUAGGGUAGCGAACGGGAUUAGAUACCCCGGUAGUCCUAGCCGUAAACGAUGGGUACUAGCUUGGGGUCUCCCUGUGUGAUCCCAGGUGAAGCUAAAGUAUUAAGUACCCCGCCUGGGGAGUAUGGUCGCAAGGCUG
rnacentral:rRNA from 1 species